UUGAUUUUUUAAAUGCGGGGAAAAGGAACGGACCCGGAUUUCCCUAGUAACGGCGAGCGAACCGGGAAGAGCCCAGGGUGUCAAUUUGGCCCUUUGGGGUUCGAGUUGUGGUUUGGAGGGGGGCGGUUCGCGCGGUUCGAUUGCCAAGUUCGSUGGAAAGGGGGGUUGCAGAGGGUGACAACCCCGUGGGCGAUUGGGUUUCGCGCUUUUUGAGCCCGUUUCGGGGAGUUGGGUUGCUUGGGAAAGCAGCUUUAAGCCGGUGGUAAAUUCCCUUGAAGGCUAAAAAUUGGCGGGAGACCGAUAGCGAACAAGUACCGUGAGGGAAAGAUGAAAAGAACUUUGAAAAGAGAGUCAAAAAGUGCCUGAACUCGUUGAGAGGGAAGCGACGUGGACUCGUCGAUCCUUCGGGGGCCGAUGGGCCGCUYUUUGCGGCCCUUGACGCCCCCCGAGAGGUCAGCGUGGGUUGGGCGCCGCGCACAUCCCCGGAAGGCCGCGUGCCUCCGGGCUUGCGCGUCGUUCGACCGAGGUUUCCAGGGGGCGGGCUUUUCUGCCCGGGGAAUUCUUUCCUCCUGCCCCUUCCGGACCGCUGGCCAAAACAACCUCUUCGGCCCGUCUUGACACAACGAACAA
rnacentral:rRNA from 1 species